rnacentral:lncRNA from 1 species
UCACCUGUCCCAUCUGCAUGAACUACUUCCUAGACCCAGUCACCAUAGACUGUGGGCACAGCUUUUGCCGGCCCUGUUUCUACCUCAACUGGCAAGACAUGGCAGUUGUUGCUCAGUGCUCUAAAUGCAAGGAGACAACAUGGCAGAGAAACCUCAACACUGACAUUUGUUUGAAGAACAUGGCUUCCAUUGCCAGAAAAGCCAGCCUCCGGCAAUUCCUUAGCUCUGAAGAGCAAAUAUGUGGGAUGCACAGAGAGACAAAGAAGAUGUUCUGUGAAGUGGACAAGAGCCUGCUCUGUUUGCUGUAUUCCAACUCUCAGGAGCACCGGAAUCACAGACACUGUCCCAUUGAGUGGGCUGCUGAGGAACGCCGGGAGGAGCUCCUAAAAAAAAAUGCAGUCUUUGUGGGAAAAAGCUUGUGAAAAUCUCAGAAACCUGAACAUGGAAACCACCAGAACAAGAUGCUGGAAGGAUUAUGUGAGUUUAAGGAUAGAAGCAAUCAGAGCUGAAUAUCAGAAGAUGCCUGCAUUUCUCCAUGAAGAAAAACAACAACAUUUGGAGAGGCUGUGAAAGGAGGGCGAGGACAUUUUUCAGCAACUCAAUGAAAGCAAAGCCAGAAUGGAACAUUCCAGGGAGCUUUUAAGAGGAAUGUAUGAGGAUCUGAAGAAAAUGUGCCAUAAAGCAGAUGUGGAGCUACUCUAGUACGAACUGACCAUGGGGUAUCAUGAUGAUGAAGAUUCACGUGCAUGGGUGUUU